GAUGAACGCUGGUGGCGUGCCUAACACAUGCAAGUCGAGCGAUUCUCUUCGGAGAAGAGCGGCGGACGGGUGAGUAACGCGUUGGUAACCUGCCCUGUACACACGGAUAACAUACCGAAAGGUAUGCUAAUACGAGAUAACAUGCUUUUAUCGCAUUGUAGAAGUAUCAAAGCUUUUGCGGUACAGGAUGGACCCGCGUCUGAUUAGCUAGUUGGUGAGGUAACGGCUCACCAAGGCGACGAUCAGUAGCCGACCUGAGAGGGUGAUCGGCCACAUUGGAACUGCGACACGGUCCACACUCCUACGGGAGGCAGCAGUGGGGAAUAUUGCACAAUGGGCGAAAGCCUGAUGCAGCCACGCCGCGUGAGCGAUGAAGGCCUUCGGGUCGUAAAGCUCUGUCCUCAAGGAAGAUAAUGACGGUACUUGAGGAGGAAGCCCCGGCUAACUACGUG
rnacentral:rRNA from 1 species